AUAGUUUCCCGAUUAUGAUGUUUUUGAGCAUCACUUUAUGCAGGCUCAUGUGGUUCUAUGCUGGUUAAUUCAAUGAUCAUUUUCCCCUUUUCUUUAAGGUGUUGGUAACCUCUCAGGGUGGUGGUGUGCUAGCUGCUGGAUGACGCGUCUUCCCUGGGUGACGACUGAAAGUUCGUUGCAGGUUCUCUGGAUUUAUCUGCUUCGUUUGAUCUUGUUUUCAAUUCAAUGAUUCUUCAUUUCAUCUUUGUUGAAGAUAUAAAAACCAAAUUCAAUUGUUUUCAAAAAAGAUGCUACUGAUGCAGCACUGGAGAUUUAUGAUUCUUAAGGAUUUUGAAAAAGGCAGAUUGGCUUCUUUCGCUUGUGGCAUAUUCUAUUUUUAAUAAUGUGAUUGACUUUGCAUCUCUUCCUUGCACGAUUGAAUUUGCAGUUCUGCAAGGCUUCAUGGUGA